UACGGAGGGUGCGAGCGUUAAUCGGAAUCACUGGGCGUAAAGCGCACGUAGGCGGUGCGGUCAGUCAGGUGUGAAAUCCCCGGGCUUAACCUGGGAAUGGCAUUUGAUACUGCCGUGCUCGAGUCUGGUAGAGGGGGGUGGAAUUCCCGGUGUAGCGGUGAAAUGCGUAGAGAUCGGGAGGAACACCAGUGGCGAAGGCGGCCCCCUGGACCAAGACUGACGCUGAGGUGCGAAAGCGUGGGGAGCAAACAGG
rnacentral:rRNA from 1 species